CUCACUGAGCAGGACCAUUAACAGCUCAGAAAUAAGUCUUGCCCUCCUCCCCUGGCCCUUCGCCACAGAGCUUGGGCAGCAUAUUAAUCCACUGUAGCUCACUUCCCGUUCACUGUCUCUGGUGCUCAUUCCAGCAGCCACCGGAAAUGCCAAGCCCCUGGGUUUUUCUUCUGUCUUUGGCUUGUGUUUAUGGAGACUCCUGGAUAUCUCAAGAUCAGCUGUCCUUUACCCGAAGGCCAAACAAGACGGUGCACAUAAGUUGCAAGCUCUCUGGGGUCCCCUUUCAGAACACCAUUGUGCACUGGUACAAACUGAAAGAAGGGGAACCCCUAAAGCGAAUCUUCUAUGGCUCAGCCAAAACUUACCAACAAGACAAACCCGACUCCCGCUUGGAAAUCGAUGAGAAGGAUGACGGUACCUUUUACCUGAUAAUUAACAAUGUUGUCACAUCAGAUGAAGCCACGUACUACUGUGCCUGCUGGGAUCUCACAGUGUCUCAGUAUCUGGAGGAACGUUCUUUGUCAGCUCGAGACGGACCCUUGAUACAAAGCUUGCAUUUCCUAUUCUACACUAUGAAAUCGUAGACUUCUCAUACCUGGGGCCAUGGGCUUAUUACAGAGAUGUAGGCUGUUUGUGUCCAACACCUGUGAAUCAAAGUCGUACAGAGAAUGAGAACAGCAGCAUCCAGACCUGUGCAACUGUGCUCUAGGCAGACGCUUCUCUGCAGAAGUCUCAGCAGCGAUCCAAUCAACUGGCUCCAGUUCCAGUCUGACUCCAGUGUCCAAAUAUUUCUUCUCAAACCCUUGAUUCUCAUGCCCUCUAUGGCAAAGAUGCAGAUGUGUUGUGAAGACAACAAGGAGGUUUUACAUUUUUUUUUUAGCUUAUACAUAUUUUGUCUCCUCUAGUGGAAAAAAACCCAAAUAAAUAAGGAGAAUUGA